GCUCUUUCGCCUGUGAUGAUAAUGACAGUAGCAGGUAAAGAAACCCCGGCUAACUCCGUGCCAGCAGCCGCGGUAAUACGGAGGGGGUUAGCGUUGUUCGGAAUUACUGGGCGUAAAGCGCACGUAGGCGGAUUGGAAAGUUGGGGGUGAAAUCCCGGGGCUCAACCCCGGAACUGCCUCCAAAACUAUCAGUCUAGAGUUCGAGAGAGGUGAGUGGAAUUCCAAGUGUAGAGGUGAAAUUCGUAGAUAUUUGGAGGAACACCAGUGGCGAAGGCGGCUCACUGGCUCGAUACUGACGCUGAGGUGCGAAAGUGUGGGGAGCAAACAGGAUUAGAUACCCUGGUAGUCCACACCGUAAACGAUGAAUGCCAGUCGUCGGGCAGUAUACUGUUCGGUGACACACCUAACGGAUUAAGCAUUCCGCCUGGGGAGUACGGUCGCAAGAUUA
rnacentral:rRNA from 1 species